AUUGAACGCUGGCGGCAGGCUUAACACAUGCAAGUCGAGCGGGGUGAUGGUGCUUGCACUAUCACUUAGCGGCGGACGGGUGAGUAAUGCUUAGGAAUCUGCCUAUUAGUGGGGGACAACAUCUCGAAAGGGAUGCUAAUACCGCAUACGUCCUACGGGAGAAAGCAGGGGAUCACUUGUGACCUUGCGCUAAUAGAUGAGCCUAAGUCGGAUUAGCUAGUUGGUGGGGUAAAGGCCUACCAAGGCGACGAUCUGUAGCGGGUCUGAGAGGAUGAUCCGCCACACUGGGACUGAGACACGGCCCAGCGUCCUACGGGAGGCAGCAGUGGAGAAUAUUGGACAAUGGGGGGAACCCUGAUCCAGCCAUGCCGCGUGUGUGAAGAAGGCCUUAUGGUUGUAAAGCACUUUAAGCGAGGAGGAGGCUACUCUAGUUAAUACCUAGGGAUAGUGGACGUUACUCGCAGAAUAAGCACCGGCUAACUCUGUGCCAGCCGCCGCGGUAA
rnacentral:rRNA from 1 species